rnacentral:rRNA from 1 species
AUUGAACGCUGGCGGCAGGCCUAACACAUGCAAGUCGAGCGGAUGAAGGGAGCUUGCUCCUGGAUUCAGCGGCGGACGGGUGAGUAAUGCCUAGGAAUCUGCCUGGUAGUGGGGGAUAACGUCCGGAAACGGGCGCUAAUACCGCAUACGUCCUGAGGGAGAAAGUGGGGGAUCUUCGGACCUCACGCUACCAGAUGAGCCUAGGUCGGAUUAGCUAGUUGGUGGGGUAAAGGCCUACCAAGGCGACGAUCCGUAACUGGUCUGAGAGGAUGAUCAGUCACACUGGAACUGAGACACGGUCCAGACUCCUACGGGAGGCAGCAGUGGGGAAUAUUGGACAAUGGGCGAAAGCCUGAUCCAGCCAUGCCGCGUGUGUGAAGAAGGUCUUCGGAUUGUAAAGCACUUUAAGUUGGGAGGAAGGGCAGUAAGUUAAUACCUUGCUGUUUUGACGUUACCAACAGAAUAAGCGCCGGCUAACUUCGUG